UGACACGACACGUCCAUAAAACAUCAUGUGCUCAGUCAUUCCAUAUCAUUCGACGUGUACAAGGUCGGUUUGGAAAAAUUAUAAAUAGAGCCUUUUCCAAUGAGUUUUAGGGUGUGAAACCUUAUGCAAGAAUUCAUAGACGUUUUUGAGAGAUCAUAGCCCUUUGUGGAGCGAUUUCAAAGCAAGAUAACACCUUUGGAGCGAGAUCUUGAAGAAUUAAAGAUUGAGUCAAGAGGAAAUCAUUUGCCAAAGAAAUACGUUCUCAUGAAAAGGACCAAAAUUGGAUAAAGCUGGAAACUUGGAGGAUGGAGCAUGCAUCAAGGGUAGAUGAAGAGUAAGAGACGUGCAUAAAUUGAAUGUCAUGAUGUGGUGACGUGUCAAAUCCAUAACCUUCCUUAGUGUUUACGUGAAGACUUGUUGAAUAUACGUUUAAGAUGUUUUCCAUGGCGUUGCAAGCAUAUUUCCAUGACGUGGAAGCUAACUUUUGGCAAGUAUAAAUAUUUACCAUUAGGUUAAAAUCUGAGGGAGAGCUGUUAAUUUCUUCGACCAAAAGCAGCCAAAAACCUUUGAGAAAACCCUUGGAAUUUAGAUUUUGAUUAGAGAAUAUGAUUUAGAGAAAUUGAAGUGAAUCUUCAUCAUUAAUCAUUCGAUUUGCCUAGUUUUUACAAUGUUUAACCUAGGUUAUUCUCUGACUUCACGUGUUUCUACUAUAAUCAUGGGCUAAUAACCCUUUACUUUCGUUUAGAUUAGAUGACCCCUAAUACUGUGUGUUAAUUUCUAUCUUUAUGUAUUCUUGAUGUUGGUUUUAACUUGUGUUUGAUAGACCUUAUCCUAGUAUGUUAAAGUUUCAA